rnacentral:rRNA from 1 species
AAAUUGAAGAGUUUGAUCAUGGCUCAGAUUGAACGCUGGCGGCAGGCCUAACACAUGCAAGUCGAACGGUAGCACAGAGAGCUUGCUCUCGGGUGACGAGUGGCGGACGGGUGAGUAAUGUCUGGGAAACUGCCUGAUGGAGGGGGAUAACUACUGGAAACGGUAGCUAAUACCGCAUAACGUCGCAAGACCAAAGAGGGGGACCUUCGGGCCUCUUGCCAUCAGAUGUGCCCAGAUGGGAUUAGCUAGUAGGUGGGGUAACGGCUCACCUAGGCGACGAUCCCUAGCUGGUCUGAGAGGAUGACCAGCCACACUGGAACUGAGACACGGUCCAGACUCCUACGGGAGGCAGCAGUGGGGAAUAUUGCACAAUGGGCGCAAGCCUGAUGCAGCCAUGCCGCGUGUAUGAAGAAGGCCUUCGGGUUGUAAAGUACUUUCAGCGGGGAGGAAGGCG